rnacentral:rRNA from 1 species
CCAAUAGCGUAUAUUAAAGUUGCUGCAGUUAAAAAGCUCGUAGUUGAAUUUCGGGACCAAUAUGUCGGUCGUGCCUCGGUACGUACUGGCAUUGUUGGUUUCUCCCUUCUGAAGAACCAUGAUGUCAUUCAUUUGGUGUCGUGGGGAAUCAGGACUGUUACUUUGAAAAAAUUAGAGUGUUUAAAGCAGGCUCACGCUUGAAUACAUUAGCAUGGAAUAA